rnacentral:rRNA from 1 species
AUUGAACGCUGGCGGAAUGCUUUACACAUGCAAGUCGAACGGCAGCACGGACUUCGGUCUGGUGGCGAGUGGCGAACGGGUGAGUAAUACAUCGGAACGUGCCCAGUCGUGGGGGAUAACGUAGCGAAAGCUACGCUAAUACCGCAUACGAUCUACGGAUGAAAGCGGGGGAUCGCAAGACCUCGCGCGAUUGGAGCGGCCGAUGGCAGAUUAGGUAGUUGGUGGGGUAAAGGCUCACCAAGCCGACGAUCUGUAGCUGGUCUGAGAGGACGACCAGCCACACUGGGACUGAGACACGGCCCAGACUCCUACGGGAGGCAGCAGUGGGGAAUUUUGGACAAUGGGCGCAAGCCUGAUCCAGCCAUUCCGCGUGCAGGAUGAAGGCCCUCGGGUUGUAAACUGCUUUUGUACAGAACGAAAAGGCUCUGGUUAAUACCUGGGGCUCAUGACGGUACUGUAAGAAUAAGCACCGGCUAACUACGUGCCAGCCGCCGCGGUAAUAC